CGGUGUUUAACUGGCGUGAUGUGGGACGUCCUACCGGUGGGCUUAGCCUCGCGGGGGGCGGCCCAACUAAUAUCCCGUCGCGGUGCUCUUUACUGAGUGUCGAGUCGGGCCGGUACGUUUACUUUGAACAAAUUAGAGUGCUUAAAGCAGGCUAUCCUCGCCUGAAUACUGCGUGCAUGGAAUAAUGGAAUAGGACCUCGGUUCUAUUUUGUUGGUUUUCGGAACCCCGAGGUAAUGAUUAAUAGGGACAGAUGGGGGCAUUCGUAUUGCGACGUUAGAGGUGAAAUUCUUGGAUCGUCGCAAGACGGACAGAAGCGAAAGCAUUUGCCAAAAAUGUUUUCAUUAAUCAAGAACGAAAGUUAGAGGUUCGAAGGCGAUCAGAUACCGCCCUAGUUCUAACCAUAAACGAUGCCAGCUAGCGAUCCGCCGAAGUUCCUCCGAUGACUCGGCGGGCAGCUUCCGGGAAACCAAAGCUUUUGGGUUCCGGGGGAAGUAUGGUUGCAAAGCUGAAACUUAAAGGAAUUGACGGAAGGGCACCACCAGGAGUGGAGCCUGCGGCUUAAUUUGACUCAACACGGGAAACCUCACCAGGCCCAGACACCGGAAGGAUUGACAGAUUGAUAGCUCUUUCUUGAUUCGGUGGGUGGUGGUGCAUGGCCGUUCUUAGUUGGUGGAGCGAUUUGUCUGGUUAAUUCCGAUAACGAACGAGACUCUAGCCUGCUAAAUAGGCGUACCUUAUGGUAUCGCGAAGGCCCCCGGCUUCGGCCGGUGGGUUUUUACUACCAACGUACAAACAAAUCUUCUUAGAGGGACAGGCGG
rnacentral:rRNA from 1 species